UACGAAGGGUGCAAACGUUGCUCGGAAUUAUUGGGCGUAAAGCGCACGUAGGCGGCAUCGCAAGUCGGAUGUGAAAUCUUAUGGCUUAACCAUAAAAGUGCAUCCGAAACUGCAGUGCUUGAGUACUUAAGAGGAUCGCGGAAUUCCCGGUGUAGAGGUGAAAUGCGCAGAUAUCAGGAGGAACACCGGUGGCGAAGGCGGGUCUCUGGGCCGAUACUGACGCUGAGGAGCGAAAGCGUGGGGAGCGAACAGG
rnacentral:rRNA from 1 species